GCCUUGAUCCCGAACACCCAGGACAGAGACAGAGUACUUUUCCUACCUCUUUCGCCUGCAUCCUUAGAAAACUCCCGUGGAUGAGAAGAUCCCCAGGCCUUUACAAGCUGUUGUUUUACAAAAGGAGAAACUGAGGCAGGAAGAGGCGGUGGAUGUGCACCAGGGCACGUGGUGCGUCGGUGCAUAGCUGAGGGCACAUGGAACAUUCACCAAGAUAAACCAUAUGCUGGAACAUAAAAUUUAUGGAUGUCGCCCAUGAAGCAGAGUCCUUCAGACCCUCAAUCAAAAACAAGUCUCAUUUUACAUUAAAUUGGAGGACUAUCUGGAGUCUCUGACCACCGUGUGACAGAAAAGAGAGCAGAAUUGUUGCAUGAUGGGUAACACUCAUCAGUAAUCGCUGUUUGCCAAGCCAUCUGGGAGGAGACCAAAGAGCUAUAAAAUAAGUUCAGGCACGGUGGUUC
rnacentral:lncRNA from 1 species